rnacentral:lncRNA from 1 species
CAGGAAGCACCAGUGUCACCACAUCGCCUGGCGGUCUCUGCCCGGAAUGCUCAAGACGGCAGCACCGGGCCCCAGUUAGGGCGGCGCAGGCACGGGUCCCGCGGGACGAUGCGGGCGCGUCCUGGGCAUCCACCAGCCUCGCUGAUGCUGGGGAGGAGUGGACGUCUCAUCCUCGGGGUCGUGGCUGCAUUUGGCUGAGGACGGGCCACAUGCAAUCCGGCCCUUAAGGCAACUCGGGAAUCACAAGGUGCGAAUUAACAGGGCGCAGCAGAGCCCAUUUUCCUAUGGCAACGACUCCACCAAUCGCCAGCUGCACGCCGCGCAUGCGCUUGAGUCAGGACCCACGAGGUCCCUCUGGUGCAGCCGCCCUGAGCUCAGCCCUGGAGCACACAAGGGGUCGCCGCCGGGCUCCUGUGUGAGCAGGAGAAGCUGACCUCUGUGUGGAGCGGUGGCAGGAGGAAGAAGUGGGGACUCUGUUCCCCACAGCGGAGAUCUCAAAGGAGGCGACCCCGGCCAAUGACACGGGCCACAGAGGCUGGACGUUGCCCGCUCAUCAUGCAGGCGACACCACAACGGAAGACAAGGGCAGAGCGGAGUACAGCCUCUGCAGCACCAGCAACCAGGACAGCCAGACCUCUGCCCACCACCCUUCCCGCCUCUCACAACACUCCGAGUUUCCAAGUUUCCACCUCCAGAGUCAGGCGCUACUGUUGGAAGCUUCCUGCAGACAAGCAGGCAGAGGCAAAGUGUGUGAAGGCUCCUCGUCCCGCCCGUCUCUGUUCACAGCAUCUUGCUCCUGAAGUCCAUAGUGAUGGCAUGGUGGCGGGCCGACGUAAACCUCUCAGAGUGCAUCGUCUUCUGGUCCCCUUCCAGCUGCUGCUCCAACACAGCCUCCUGCAAGGGACAGGUCCUCCCCGCGGGGCCACUGAGCAGCCACGUGCAGCCAUGUGACAUGGUUUCAGGCAGACUUGCUGCAGGUUGGGUGGCAGUGAUACAUUUAAAAUACCUUGUCUCUCUACUCUCUCUCAUUCCCAGCUGAUACAAGUGGCAAUUCAUAAAUGGUAAUUGGAUGAAUCAGCACAGAAUUAGACAUUUUGAUUGCAGGUAUCUCAAGUAAAUCAAGGUGUUGGGGCCCAAAGCACAAUACAGGCAGUGAGCAGAUAAACCAGACCAGGACUACAGGAAGCCCUCCCUCUGGUUGUCGGCCCGCGCGUGUGGUUUCUGUCCGCUUUCCUAGAAGUAGCUAUGUUAAGCACGCCCAGCUGUGCUCGGCACAGUGGCCUAAGCAGAGCCCUGGGAAGCAGCUCCCUCACCCCAGUUCAUCAGCACCUGAGCCCGGGCCAAGUGUCUGACCCCUCUGGGCUGCAGGUGGUCACCUGGAGGAUGUGCACAGGGACAUGCUACGGCGUGCGGCUCCUGCAGACACAGCCGAGUCCUCAGCCGCCUCAGAGAAGGCUGCGGGCUGAACACCGCAGCAGCCUGUGCACGGAGGAAGGCAGGCACAGGCUCACGGAGGGCACGGAAACAGCGGGCUGAACCACUACUGUGGGCUCUGCGGGCCAUGCAGGUGAGGGGCUGGACCCUCCCGAGGAUUAUCCAGCCCCGAGUUUGGGGGUUGUGGCCCUUCCUCGUCUUCAUGGUUCCUACUUGACUUGUACCUCUGCCCCAGUGGAUGUGUUGUGAGAAUGAAUAUGUUCCUGAUUGAUCAUGGAUGUCAUAUUUGACACUCGUGGACAUUUAACUUUUACUGGGAAUAUUCAGCUUUGAAAACUGAAAACUAUUUCUACACCUGUGGAGAGUCGGAGAUCAGGAGUGGGAGAUUCAGGGACUGAGGCAGGGCUUGAGCCCCCUUCUUGGGCAAGGCCCUGGGCCACAC